GAAGCCUAAACAAAACAAAAGAAGAAAACGAAGAAGAAGAAGCGGGGUUGGGAGGUCGACGAAAGAGGUUUGAGAUGUUCAUGGUGUACUUGGAUGUUAGGCGCAAGAUCCACAAUGCAAAACCCACAAAGUCAGCAAAAGAUGCCUUGGGGUGUACUUGAAGCUGUUCUCCAGGAGGUGGUACUUGCACAGGGAGACUCAGCUUACCUCACCUUAGCAUUGACCUGCAAGUACUUUAAAGAUAUUGUGUCUGACCCAGUUUUCAGGAAGAAAACACACUUUGCUUGGCUGGAUGGUGAGAUCAACUGGGCAAAAUUUUCACAGUCAUUUAAGGCAGAAAACCGAAUUCCUUUGGCGGUUGUAAUGUGUUUGUCCUGCAACCAGCAAUACAAAGACUGUGUGGGCUUCACUGGCAAUGGAAGACGAGGGGAGUACCCUCGUUAUUACUGUGAUGCCAUACCCGGACGCUGCCCUGAAUGUCAAUAAUGAAUGCAUCAGUUGUUUUCCAGCCUUUCACAUAUUUCUGUUGUCACACAUUGUUCGUUUUUUUUUUUUUUUUUUUU